rnacentral:rRNA from 1 species
UAACGAAUCUUCCGCAAUGCACGAAAGUGUGACGGAGCGACGCCGCGUGGAGGACGAAGUUCUUCGGAAUGUAAACUCCUGUCAGGGGAAAGAAAGUUCUGAUCUACCCCAGAGGAAGAGGCGGCUAACUCUGUGCCAGCAGCCGCGGUAAUACAGAGGCCUCGAGCGUUAGACGGAAUCACUGGGCUUAAAGCGUGUGUAGGCGGAAGGGUAAGUACCUUGUGAAAUCCCACGGCUUAACCGUGGAACGGCUUGGUAUACUGCUUUUCUUGAGCAAUCUAGGGGCGAGUGGAACAGAUGGUGGAGCGGUGAAAUGCGUAGAUAUCAUCUGGAACGCCAAUGGUGAAGACAACUCGCUGGGGAUUUGCUGACGCUGAGGCACGAAAGCCAGGGGAGCGAACGGGAUUAGAUACCCUCGUAGUCCCUGAGCGGGCUGGCAAGGCGCAU